GGGGAUUUAGCUCAGUGGUAGAGUGCUUGCCUAGGAAGCGCAAGGCCCUAGGUUCAGUCCCCA
rnacentral:tRNA from 1 species